ensembl:lncRNA
UAAUGCAGAUUUUAAAUUACAAUAUUUAUUAUAUAUUUUUUUAAAAACAAAAAUGUCUUUGGUGUAAAUGAACUUUCACCUUGUCCGAGUCAGAGUUCACUGCGCAUGUCAAACCACCACGUCACUCUGCUGAAGCUUCCGGACGCAGCCACUUUGGGAAGCUAGAUGUGGUUUUUACCCCCAAAACAUGACAGAGAAGUGAAAGAGAAAACACUAUUUUCACGAUGACUGGGAGGAAGAGUUAUUUUUCACGACAGUGAAAGACAAAUGUAUGUGUCCUAUUUGCGGGGCGACUAUUGCGUCCGCCAAGCGGCACAAUGUGGAGAGACGCUACUUUAGCCACCACAAAGCUUCCAUGCUAACUAGCCAUGCUAACUAGCCACCUGGUAGCGCACAUAGACUGUUUGCGCACUAUGGACAGGAAAAUCCCGUUACUUAAAGGCAGCUUUGACAUCUACUACGCGGCGAAAAGUUUCUUCGUGGAGAAAAAUGUACCAUCAGAAAGGCUUGUUUUACUGACGACAGACGGGGCUCCUCCAUGACGGGUCGGCAUGCAGGCUUCAUUGUACUAUGCAGAGGUGAUCCAGACUUCCCAACAUCCCUACAUUACCACUGCAGCAUUCACCAGCAGGACAUAUGUAUGUACAAAAAUGACUGGAUUUGAUCAUGUGAUGACUCCUGUCGUGAAGAUCAUAAAUGGCUCCAAAGCCAAACAACCAGGACAUUGAAGGUGCUGCUGGAGGAGCUGUUAGCUGAACAUGGUGACCUGUUAUUACACACAGAAACCCCAUGGAUCAGCAGGGGACCAGUUUUGCAGCGUUUUUUGUCACUGUUGGCCGAAAUCAAAGAGUUGAUGCAAUCCAAAGGGGAAGACACCUCGCUGUUUGAGGACACUGAGUGGAUUCUUGUCCUUGCAUUUUUAACGGACAUCACUGAGAAACUGAACCAUCUGAACUGUGAGCUGCAAAGUAAAGCAAUCUCAAUCUCUCCAGCAGACACUGAGCUUUCACUGAUAGACAGAAAAGUGGAUUGAUGAGAAGGGAAAGCAGAGAAAAUGUUAGAAUUAUAAAGUAAGUAAAGAUUAUAAUAACUACAUCAGAUAAUUCUUGGUCGCAGUUGGAAUUUUGCAGACUGAGA